ACAGACCUUGUGGUGAAAGGAUUUGGCCAAGAAGAAGGGGUUUACCUGUCAUUUGCCUACCGGAGAGAGGCUUGUCCUGACUCAGUUUACACAGGGCUCCAGAGGGUUAAGGACUCCAGCGUCUGUCUUCCUCUCUCUGUCCAACACUUCUCCCUUGUUUGGGGGCAGAGUGUUGUCCAUCUGGAGUCAGCAUGGCCCUUCUGCCUGGCCCUAGGAAAUCGCUGCUCUCCAUUCCAAACACAGCAAGUGACCGCUAAGCCUGGGCAGAGAAAAUCUGUCACUUUCUCGGUGUUGGUGUCCAGUGUAUGUUUCAUGCCAUGAGAAAAUUGAAGAGGCCUGAGUCUGUGCCCGGACCACGGGUCUCUUUGCUUGCCUGUCCCUUCCAUCUUCAUUUCCCCCUAAGUCUAGCAUCAGAGAAAAAUUAGGAGUCCUGAAAGCUUUCUUCGGGAUCGUUUCGUGCUACCCCUACACUUGCUGCUGAGAAAAACUGAGACUCAGGAGAAAUGACUUGCCCAAGAUCAUGGCUCCGAUUCUCUGCCCCCGUCCUAUCCCCCUUCCCAAAGACUUUCAAAACAAAAUUCUAGAAGUUCCCUAUCAAGCUCUUUUCUGUUUGCCUGAAAGCUUUUUCUUUUCUUAAUGUUUCAAGAGUUUGUCACUUCUGAUUAUGCUUACAGAUAAAGCUCAAAAUAACAAUUCUACACCUUCGUCCAUAGCUUUGAAAGUUGCGAUAUAUAGCAAGCUAGCUAGAUAACAGUGGAUAGAGCACAAGGCCUGGAGGUGAGAGGACCUGGGUUCAAAUUUGACCAGUAGUCACUUCCUGGAGUGUGACCCUGGCCAAAUCACUUCACCUCACUUGCCCACCCCCUACCACUCUUCUGUCUUAGGAUUUAUACUUAGCAUCACUUCUAAGACAGAAAGGAAGAAAGGGAGGGAGGAAAGGAAGGAAGGGAGGGAAGAAGAGAGGGAGGGAGGGAGAAAGGAAGGAAGAAAGGGAAGAAGGGAGGGAGAAAGGAAGGAGAGAAAGAGAAGGAAGGAGGAGGGAGAAAGG
rnacentral:lncRNA from 1 species